UACGUAGGGACCGAGCGUUGUCCGGAAUCAUUGGGCGUAAAGAGCGUGUAGGCGGCCAGGUAGGUCGGUUGUGAAAACUGGAGGCUCAACCUUCAGAGGUCGACCGAAACCAUCUGGCUAGAGUCCGGGAGAGGAGAGUGGAAUUCCUAGUGUAGAGGUGAAAUUCGUAGAUAUUAGGAAGAACACCAGUGGCGAAGGCGGCUCACUGGCCCGGUACUGACGCUGAGACGCGAAAGCGUGGGGAGCAAACAGG
rnacentral:rRNA from 1 species